CCUACGGGAGGCUGCAGUCGAGAAUCAUUCACAAUGGGGGAAACCCUGAUGGUGCGACGCCGCGUGGGGGAAUGAAGGUCUUCGGAUUGUAAACCCCUGUCAUGUGGGAGCAAAUUAAAAAGAUAGUACCACAAGAGGAAGAGACGGCUAACUCUGUGCCAGCAGCCGCGGUAAUACAGCGGUCUCAAGCGUUGUUCGGAAUCACUGGGCGUAAGGCGUGCGUAGGCUGUUUCGUAAGUCGUGUGUGAAAGGCGCGGGCUCAACCCGCGGACGGCACAUGAUACUGCGAGACUAGAGUAAUGGAGGGGGAAGCGGAAUUCUCGGUGUAGCAGUGAAAUGCGUAGAUAUCGAGAGGAACACUCGUGGCGAAGGCGGGUUCCUGGACAUUAACUGACGCUGAGGCACGAAGGCCAGGGGAGCGAAAGGGAUUAGAUACCCCUGUAGUC
rnacentral:rRNA from 1 species